ensembl:lncRNA
CUAAUUUGCAGCUUGGAGACGGCACUGGUGGCAGAACUAAGAACCCAGCUCCCAGCCCCCGAGCCACCAGCUCUGCAUGGCUCUAACUCUCCUUCUGCCCGUGCUGGCCUGUCUCCAGAUCCUCCCCCGGCCGGUGGCCCCCUCAGAUGAAGCUUCCCUGAAGCCAUUGCUGACUGUAAGCCCAGAAUAUUCCACCUACCGUGUUGGCAAUUCUGUUACCUUCACAUGCUUGACACCCAAAGGGCACCAGGCCAUGCAAUUCCAGUUUCUAAAGGAUGAAGCUGAAGUGGACUCUCCAGAGACCCAGAGUCAGCUUCUCCAUACCUACAAUCUGCCUAGUCUAAAUGUGCAUGACUCCGGGUCCUACCGCUGUAAAUACUGGCCACCCGGGCAGAAGAUCCCAUCCAAACUGAGUGAUCCUAUCACCCUAAAUGUCUACGACCGACCACCACCUCCCUCACUCUCUCUGGACCCCCCCUGCCUCGAGUACCUGCUGGGGGAACAGGCAACGGUCAGCUGCAUAGAUCCCAAAGUCGGGGAGGUGACGGGAUACAGAUUCUACAAUGAAAGAAGUGGGGACAUCUCCACCUAUGCCCCUGACCCAAGCGGGGGAGCCAAACUGGUCUUCCUUGCACUCCACAUGGCUGAUGCUGGACCAUAUACAUGCAAAUACUGGAAAGCACAGAAUGGGCAAGAGAUACUGUCGGUGGGAAGCCAACCGGUCUCUGUUUCAGUGCUGGAUCCUCCUUCCCAACCGGCACUGAGCCUGGAUCCCCCGUCUGGAGUGAUUAAGGAAGGGUUCCCCCUGCUGAUCACCUGCAUGGCCCCUAGGGACACCGGUGAGCGAAGGUUCCACUUCUACAAGGAUGGAGUUGAGUUCAUCCCUGGGAACACACUGUCUCAGAUCAACACCACGGGGCCAGGGUCUGGCUCUAUGAAUGUCUCUGUGCUCAGCAUCCCACGGGCUGGUCCUGACAGCACUGGGAAAUUCACCUGCGGGUAUGAGGAGAAGGUGUGCCAGAAGUGGGUCCAGUCCCCCAGGAGCCAGGCUGUGAACAUCACCGUGACAGCGGAUAAACUUUUCCUGCUCCGGUUCCUGGUAGUGGGUGGCUCCUUCUUCAUCAUCAAUGGCCUCAUCUUCCUCAUCUCCCACUGCUGCUUGUAGCACUCAGGUAACUGGUUAAGGUGGCAGCUCUGAUUCACGGACUGUUCCCAA